rnacentral:rRNA from 1 species
UAGGGAAUCUUCGGCAAUGGACGGAAGUCUGACCGAGCAACGCCGCGUGAGUGAAGAAGGUUUUCGGAUCGUAAAACUCUGUUGGUAGAGAAGAACGUUGGUGAGAGUGGAAAGCUCAUCAAGUGACGGUAACUACCCAGAAAGGGACGGCUAACUACGUGCUAG